rnacentral:lncRNA from 1 species
CAGAUACAGAGUUGCUGAACCUGAUUCCAGUGUUCGAGGAGCUGAGUGGAGCGGAUGAUGUCUACACCAGCCUUGGGCAGCUGCGGGCCCCUUAGCCUUCCUGCUCCAAGAAAUGGCCACCCCAACAGGGGAUUUGCUACACUGUGCCUUUGUGAUCAACCUGACUGUCAGGGUCUGCAAGUACCCAGGGCAUGCUAGACAAGAGCUGUAUGGCAGGUCACAUGCAGAGCAGGAAAUCAGACUGAGACCCAGAGCUCUCUGAACCCUGUGUCUCCCAAGUGUGCGUGUGGGUGUGUGUUUGUGUGUGCGCAUGCAUGUGCAUGUGCCCGUCCAGUAAACUAUGGUCCACGGUGCCCAGUGGCCAGUAGGGGGCGAAACUGAAAGAUCAAGACUUGACCCAAGUCUCUUGUCUCUUUUCCUGCUGCCCUGGGAGCUGCUAAGUGUCACAGCCAGGCAACUGUUGUAGACUCCCCUGCCAAACCAUGGCCUUUCCUCAACAUCACCAGGCCUGUGCCAAGGAGAAGGGAGAGGCCAGAGGCUGCUUUCAGAUGCCCAGCCACACACCUAGAAAUCUAGCCAGCAGCUGCAGACGUUUGGGAAGAUGAGGACAUGUUCACAGACCCACCAGGUCCUGUGUCCUAUGGACUGCACCUGACUCCAGCAGAAUUGCUUCUCUGUCUCCAGGCUCCAGUACCAGGCCAGCCUCCUCACUCCCAAGCCAUAGUCUUACUCCCAUGGGAAAGGAGGUCUUCUCUCUGUCCUAGGAGAGGACAGCUGAUUUCUGUUCUUUUAACUCUUAAAGUUCUCUUUAUAAACAUGGAGUGGUUUGUAUCCA